UACGAAGGGGACUAGCGUUGUUCGGAAUCACUGGGCGUAAAGCGCACGUAGGCGGAUGUGUCAGUCAGGGGUGAAAUCCCGGGGCUCAACCUCGGAACUGCCUUUGAUACAGCACGUCUCGAGUCCGGAAGAGGUGGGUGGAAUUCCUAGUGUAGAGGUGAAAUUCGUAGAUAUUAGGAAGAACACCGGUGGCGAAGGCGGCCCACUGGUCCGGUACUGACGGCUGAGGUGCGAAAGCGUGGGGAGCGAACAGG
rnacentral:rRNA from 1 species